UGAUGGCGACCGGCGCACGGGUGAGUAACGCGUAUGCAACUUACCUAUCAGAGGGGGAUAGCCCGGCGAAAGUCGGAUUAAUACCCCAUAAAACAGGGGUCCCGCACGGGAAUAUUUGUUAAAGAUUCAUCGCUGAUAGAUAGGCAUGCGUUCCAUUAGGCAGUUGGCGGGGUAACGGCCCACCAAACCGACGAUGGAUAGGGGUUCUGAGAGGAAGGUCCCCCACAUUGGUACUGAGACACGGACCAA
rnacentral:rRNA from 1 species